GAAGAGGAGCAGGCAGAACUUUAACCACUUGGCCAUGGGACUGGCCCCAUCUAACAGCUUCGGUUUAACAUACUCACCUGUUUAAAAACCCUCUCUCCAAAUAGUCACAGUCUGAGGUACUGAAGGUUGGGACUUCAACAUAUGACUUGGGGGGGUAAAAAUCAGCCCCUACCAGAGAGGAACGGAGCAGGGCUCUGCCGCCUGAAGUGGCCAGGAGCGGAGUGCAGGGCGUUUGAGAAGAGAGGAUAUAGACCAUCUAUCUGACCACAAGUCGAAGGAUUCCUAGGGACUGCUGCUUCAGGCCUCAUGGAUACAGUACCCUGGGUCCGCGUCUGGGAGCCGGAUUGUCUCUGAUUGUAGCCUCACAUUGAUGAGCCUUGACUCGCUCAGGCUUCACGUUGAUUCUGGUUCUGGCACAGCAGCACUGGACGUGCUUGCGGCCUCAGAAUUGCCUGCUCUCAUUGUCCCAGGCUGAGCAAAGUCCCUCCAAGCCCGGGACUUGCCCUACACUCCCUCUAACUGAUCAGGAUUGCUACCUGGGCAGGGACCGUAUGUAGGGUGUCGCAUUGAGUCUGGCGCCAGCUCUGUGGGAUUCUCCCUGCCUAAGGGAAGCUGAAGACCCCAGUGGGAGGAAAGAAGAGAGAUGGAGUGAGAGGGAGAGAGAGACAGGGAGAGACAGAGAGAGCGAGGAGACUCACUGUCGCCCACUGAGAACCAGCCUUGCCCAGCAGCAUUCCGACGUGGGUGCCCGUGCCAGGUCUCUUGUGCACGCUUCUCCUCGGCAACUUGGAAGAGCAAAUUGAGCACACGCUCUAAAAGUGAAGCAGGCUGCUGACAAUGAGGUGGAUGUUCAAGGGGAGCCAGAGAGCCGUGCGUGGGGCUUGCUGUCCUAGGUGAACAAAAUCAAACAUUGACGAGAAGGAAGCUGUGCACACACAGCCGCUUCUCCCUCCCACCCCCUUUCUCUCGCUCCUCGGGGUCUCUGUUUGAUUUGGGACCCAGAAUAGGAUAAUGGAAACUAAAAGCAUUUUUUUCUGCCAAUGUAAAGGGUAAUAUAAUCACCGGCAGCUGAGAGACAAUGACAUUUUUAUAGACCUUCUGGCAACACUGGAGUGUGAAGGAGACUGACAGGAUGAACUUCUUUCAUAAUUAAAAUUAAAAAGGAAACCAAUACCCGCUAGUCUUGUAAGAAGUGCCAUAAGAAGAUUUAUUCACAGCAAAGGCUUCCAAAAGGUGAAAAUGCUACUCUGAGUGGUGGGAAAGGGCUGGAAGAGGAGACCUAAGUCCUUGCUCUCAUGAAUUCUGGGCAGUGUUCUGCAGCAACGGAAACUGGGCCUGCGAAUGGUAAGGUGCGUACUAGGUGGAAGCAGAUGAAACCAUCUCUCUCAGCCUAAUGGGAACUAGACCAUUGUUGGAGGAAUGUGGAUCAAGGGUCAGAUGAGUGAAUGAUACAGAAGGGCCAAGGGGCCAGCGCCCCCACGUGAUCAGACACUUACAAUGGCAGACACACAGAAUGGUGGGGGAAGGGAUGCAAUGGCCACAUUCCCUUGGUCAUAUCUGCCUCUGCCCACUCCCUGCUCGCUGGCUGCCCCACCCCGCCCCUGCGGGAAGAGAGUGAUAAUUUGAUUGGUCAGAAUCUGAGGCAACCAUUGAGACAUAUUCUCUAGUGGGCAGAGUUAAACUACAUUAAAAAGCUGUGCCCAUGAGUGUUAUUUUCUGGCACCCUCCAUGUAUUUCCUCUGUGUAGUGAUGCUUCCUCUCCCGGGGGCUGAGUCCACCGGGCUGUGUGGGUAAGGGGAUUCAGAGGGAUUCAGGGUGGUUGGAAGGUAGGCAGAAUUUCACCCCGCAUUCCUGGAACAAGCUUCUGGACAUGCUGUCGCACACCUCUCCUACUUCCCUUCCUCCUGCCAGACUCAGCAGGAGAGACUGGAAUCUCCACUUAGGUCUCGAGGUUUCCUAAGCAAAUGACCGAACUGGCUUUUACCAGAUGGCCUUACAUAAAGAGUUACUGGGCUGGAUGAAUUAUUAAUAUUAUUCCUGAUAUUAUUUUCAUUUAGUUACUCUUUCUUAAGAACAGCCUUCCUGAGAAGUGCAUGGUGAAGAAGGCAGGCAGAAUUUGGGGAUUCUUGGUCCCUUGGUGUAAUACUGUCUAAUAUAAAAUGUCACUAGAACCCUCAAACAGGAUUGGGAAUUUGGUAGCUUGUGGGAAGGAAUGAGACUUCUGCUUAAAUAUGUUAAUAUAACUCUGAUAAUAGCGCUAAUUCAGAUAUUUCCAGGAGUGCUGGAAAAAAAAUCCUAAUUUAUAUUCUACGUACUUCAGAAUUUGAUGUAACUACUUUGGAAGUUGAUGUAACAUUGGGCCGACAUAGGUAUUACAUUAUUUUAGUAUGAAUAUUUUCAAAACCAGAUUGUUCCCUUUUAUGUGCCCUACGAAAAUAUGGGAACUGAAACAAAAUGAGUCCAAGGAUAUUUGUCGGUUGAUUGAUGAAUACCUCACCUACUUCUAAGACAUUUGAAAUAGUUCUUUGCCACCUUGAUCCAGGGGAUGCUGAUUCAGCUUGGCAGAAUCUCAAAAUGUGUUCCCAGAACAAAUACUCAAAUAUGUUCUACAUCUGCAAGAGUCAAAAGUAACUCUUCAAAUCAAGUCUUAAACAUCUGGCCUGUUUUUCAGUAGCAAGCCUGUCCGUGCUUCCAUUUCCCUUUGAAUCAUUAACGAACGUAAGAGUAUUGCGAUAGCAUGAAAAUGCUAACAACAAAGGUCUUACAGUUUUUUCUGCUUUGUUUCUCACUUUUUCAAUGGAAAUACUUAGACUGUCAAAAAUAAUUAAUGUUAGUCAUCUGAUACAGACAGUCUGACGAAUGCCAUUUUCUGACUUAGAUGCAGUAAUUUCUGAAGCGUUGGGACCAGAAAGGAAUUCUCAUCAAUUCCUCUCUCUUGACAACAUCUCGGCUUCCUGCUGGCUUAGUUAAGAUUAUUCCUCUCUCUUCAUACAAAAUCUGACUCAAAGGCUGUCUAUCCUGACUAACUAUUUCACAUUUUCAUCUUUCUUCUACCUUAACUUUCUCGUAAUAUUUACGUUGUGUAUUUGUGUUAUAUCAAUGAAAAAUCAUUAAACAUUCUGAGAAGGGAAGAUGUAUGAUAAGAUUAUACUAUGGAAACAUUUUCUAGAAAGAUUAUAGAAAUUUCAUAGAAAGAUUACUCUUUCCACAGAAUAGAGGAUGUUUAAGGGGGAAGAGACUUGCCAGUGAACUGGGGCGUUGGCAGUGGGUGUAAGAAGGAGGAAAUGGAAGAGAGAUGGCUUAGAAACAGAAUGAGCAUGGAACCAGAAUUUGACAAUUGACCAUGAUUUAGUCUAAGACGAUGACAAUGUUUUGAGCCUGUGCCACUGGGAAGAUGUGGUGCUAUUAAUUAGGACAGGCUGUAAAAGAAGACGAGCAGAGCUGUAGGAAACUUCUGUGUAGAGGGAAGAGACACCCAGUGAGUUCUAUUUUGAGAUGUCUAUAGAGAGAGGACAUCUACAUAAGAUGUCCUAUAGGUAAUUGGAAAUGUCAGUGUAGAGUUUGGGAAAGGAGUGGAAACUGGAGACCUAAGUGUGGCAAAUGCCUGUGUGUGUGUGUGUGUGUGUGUGUGUGUGUGUGUGUGUAUGUGGCGGGCGGUGGGGUGCGGUGAGUAGACAAAUCCAUGGGAGUCUAUGAGACUUUAUGAAAAGUGUCUUAAGUGAAAAGAAAAGACCUUGGGACUUCUCACCUUUAGAGGGUUGUGGGUAAGGAAGGAUAUUGGGAAGAAGGCCUCAGGAAAGUAGGAGGAGAAUGUAGAGCCUUAUCUGAGAAACAGAGCAUUAUAUUGAAUUUAUCCAUUCAAUUCAAUUCCACAAACAUUUAUUGAAAUACUAGAAAGACAUACUGCUGGGCUCUAGCAACGUAAAAGUGGUCCUUGCUUUUAAGGAACUUCAAAAGAUAGAUGGAGAGAUGGACAUUUAUCAGCUUGAACGAUACGAAAUGGCAACAUUCCACAUUUUUGACCCACAAAAACUGCAAUUUCAUAUGGAUCAACCUAAUGUAAUUUUAUACAAAUUAAAUUAUCUUCACAGAAUUUUUAACAAUGUCAUGUACACACAGAGAAAACCUCUGGAUUGAAAGACACAUCCCAGAAGACCUGACAUGUACAUGUUCUCCUGAAUGACUUUUUAAAAAAUUGCUUAGACCUGAGAAUCUUGGAAAUGUCAUCUUUAACCUAAGGCUGACUUGCCUUUUUGUUGCAAGAUGGCUGCCAAUACUUAUGUCAGAGAUAAGAGGAAGUUUAAGUUUUUCUUUUAAUGAUCCAACAAACAUCCUGAGAUUGUCCUGUCAUCCUGAUUAGACCAAGUGGGUUCCAUGCUCACCCUAAGUCACAGGGAAUUCCAUGAGUUGACAAACUAAUGUGGGAAAUAUUGCCCAUCCAUGAACGGGAGGAGGAGUCAAACUUGCACAAACACACGGCUGCCAUCCAAUGGGGACAUGGAUGAGAUGGAGAUUGAGAGGGCAACCAGCCAUGUCACAUCAGAGUUUAAGCAGCAGGGUGACAAUGCAGGUAGAAAGAUUGCUUUGCAGCAUUUUAGAGGUAAAUGUCAGAGGCCUGCAACGUUGGAGACAGACCAGUCAGGAGGAAACUGAAGGAAUCCUGGCCAAAAAGAUGAGGGCAUAGAUGAAAGUGGGAGCAAGGUGAGUCAAGAGGAGAGGGGGCUGAUGCAACCUAUGGUAAGAUGGAGCGAAUAGAACUUAGGGACCACCUUGAUGAAGAGGGCGAGGGAGAUGAGGUUGGGCUAAGAACGACUCUCACAUUUCUUGCCUGAUCGAUGGUACAAAUGAUGGAGCUGUCACCAGGAGAGGAAGUGCAGGGGGAAGACAUUUAAGUUUUGGCGGAAAGAUGACUAUGUCUGUGUUUUUUUUUUCUUUUGACUUUUCUUGUUCCUUUGAUUGAGAUGACUUUGGAACAUGAAAAUGGAUACUGUCACUGGAAGAGAGAUGAAUGGUUUUGGACCUAGAAAGCCUGGAGAUGCUGACUUGGGGUUGACAGCGCAAGGUUGAAUAACUAAAGAUGAGCUGCAUGCUGGAAAAAUAGAAACAAAUGAAGAGAAUAAUCAACUCUUAAGCCAAAAAGCCAUUGGUAGCAACUCAGUACAUAUGUGCGUGUUGAGUUUCCCCACAGUUGAGAGGAUAACCAAAGUCAAGGCCUGAGAAGAGGAGAGAGGAGAGGAAAGCAGAGACUAAGGGGGCAGGAGAAGGUGACAUUGACAAUCUUAAACUCACAAGUGCAGUUGGGUUGCUCUCAUUGCUUCCAUUGAGGAUCACAAGGAAAAGAGGGGAAAGAGAAUAAAAGACUUGCUUGCAAAGAUUUUAGCCGUAGCACAGCUUUUGGAAAAUCUCACCUCUCUCCUGUUUUUCUUCACCUGGAGAUGAUUGUUUUCUCUACAGACAUCUAUCUCUGUGUCUGCGUCUCUCUCAUAGACGUAAACAGAUCUUGGAUGCCUCUGCACUGUAUUGCAAGCCAGGGAGAUGGACUGCACAUGAGCCCGAGCUCCUACAAACCUGGAUCCCUCGGGGUCCCUCUGCUCCUACAGGCCCCUGUGAUUGUCUGCUGGAUUUCCUUCACACCUGCCAUCAGCUCUUCUACCUGGCCCCAUGUCUGAAACUCACCAGGGACAGAAUGCUGUUUCCGAAGUUCUCCCUUACUUUGUUGCAUUAAUCAGGAUUCUGUCCGCCUGAUAGGAAAUCAACUCGAUUUAGUCUAAGCCAAGAGGAGUUGAUUGGCCCUUGUAUCUGAAGAGCCCACAGGUUAGUUUGGUUAGGCGAGGAUUUGAGGUUCAAAUAAACAAUCUCAUCAUGUCCCCUCCCUGCCUUCCUCCCCAUUUCCUAGGUCUGCUUUCAUCUGUGUUGGCUUCACUAUUACAGACCAUCUCCAUGUGAUGGGACUUCCCCAGGCCUUUAGGGUUCUCAUAGCUCAUGCUCUUGGAAGGAUCGAAGACCUUUCAGACUUCCAGAAUCCAUAUCUGCCCCUGCGAAAGGAUUCGGAUUGCCCACAGCUGGGCCACAUGCCUAUCCUGGAAGAGUGUCUCUAUCCAGGGGAGUGGGACAUCCUUGCGACCCUCAGCCAUAUAUGGAUCAUAGGGGCAGGGGACACUGGCUUCUUGAUUGAGAGUUCUACUAGAAUUACAUGGUGUGGAGCAGAGCAGUUCCCAAAAGGAAGUGCUAUUGGCCAAACAAAGCAGUAACCAUUGGCUACGACAAUUACUGUACCUGAAAUAAUGGCACAAAUUAACUCAGUAACUCUGAGGAAACGAAGGUAAACAAAAAUGACAAAUAAAAGGUAGUAUACAAUAAAAAUAUUUUAUGCUAGUCCUUGCUGUCCUUGACCUUCUAGACUUCUAAAAUGAAGUUCUAACAGAAAAGGGAGAAUUUGUUUUGCUUGUCAUCGUAUUCUUAGUCCCCAGCACAUAGUUUCUUUAUACAAGAGUAUCAAGUGAAGUGAAAUUUAAAAGUAAGUCAGUGACUACUGAGUCACAGGGGCAAAUAGCAAGAAAAGGUAGAAUGAUUUUCCUCAUUGCAGGAAGAAGCACUUCAGUGAGCGCUCUCAAUUAUGGAAUUGUAAGGGUGUGGGCGCCUGUCCGGGAGGAGGAUAGAUGCAAUCAGUCGUGUGCUGGUAAAUGUUUAACAGCUGGAUCUCCAAGGAAACAACAACAAUCCUGAUUUGUAGCAAUUGCUAAUUCCUAUUGUGUAAAUAUUCCCAUCAUGGUUGAUUUCAAGUUACCAACGUGAGUCCCUGAGGGUAGAGCCGAGAAGAGAUGCACGGAUUGGUUCUCAGGAGCCUGUGUGAGCCGGCUCCAGCCCAGCACUGAUGUAACCAAACCUUCCUCGUAUUGAUGAAGGCUGCUUCUCCCCGAGACUCUUUAGCCUUUAAUAUGAAUCCUUGGAAGGGGUUCACCCAUUGCAUGUGGAACCUGGUGUUUUCCAUGGGCAAGAGAUCAAAAUCUAAACCCCAUAGCCCAGUAUUUGAAAUUAUUUAAGCAUAAUCAGGUGGCCCAAAGUGGCGUUGACCGAGAUUCUUGAUCGGAUAAGGACUGCAAGGAUUCCAAAGAGAAACCCCCCAUGAGGAGAGCAGUUGCCUUGGUGACCUGAGCGCAACACUGAUCCCAGGGGUCACUGAGGAUUCCUGUGUAGCUGAUGGCUGAGCCUACAAGCUGCUCUGUACUCAUCCACCCGGGCAAAGGUGUUGUGUUUCAGGGGAAACAAUGGUUAAGAAUUUGAGCGUAACUAAAAAUAUUCGUGAAGUCGUGAAGGACACUGUGUGCACCACUUGGGCUCUGGCACAUUUCAAGAGAGUAAAGACAUCACCAUAGCAGUGGGCAAACAUUCUUUUGUUGGCGAGGUACUGGUCUUAUCAGGAAUGCAUACCAGGAGUUUGCAAUUAAGACUUAAGUGCUCAUGGAGGGCAUCCGUCCGGAUAGGCUAAGUUAUGCUGUGGUAAGAAGUGGUACUGAAGUUUCAGUGGCUUAACACAACAUGGGGUUCUUUCUCACUCUCUGUGUAUAUCCAUCACGAGGUCUCAGGCUGACGGUGAUUGCUUCCUGGUACCUGCUUCCAUCAUUGCAGAGGCAGAAAAGGAUGUGCAGAUUCACACACUGGAUCUUAAAUGAGACAGCACUUCUCUCAUUUCAUUGGCCAAAGCAAGACCUCUAGCUGCACCUAACCCCACUGUGUGGGCAGGGUAGUGCAGUCCUAGUGUGUGAAGUUGGAGCUGGAAAACAGCACCAACAACCACAGAAGGUGAUUGAAAAUUCUAAUUACUUUUUCUCCCUUAGCCUUUGGAAGAAGGAACCAGGCUUGUUUGAUGUUUGAACUGAAUAAGCCCGCAGAAGCUUGAACAAUUCAGUUGCAGGAAGACCUAAAGGGGAUACUAACCCUUCUGGUAUAGGGGAACCUCUAGCAAUGAAGUGAGCUAUUAUCUGGAAAGUGCAAAAUAUAAAGAGAGGAGGCAGUUUUGGUAUGGCAAAGGGCAAAAUAAAUCAAAUCAGGUGCAUGUUGAAUGAACAAAUGAAUGAGUGAAAGUUCAUUCAAAUGGAAUCAUACCUCUCCCCUGCAAACAUCUUUCAUGACUUUUCUUGGAUAUUUUCCCGUGGAGAUCCUCUUCCUUUCAUUCAAUUACGUUAUUAUCGUAGGUGAGAAUAAUCAUUUACCCUCCUCCCUUGAUAAGAAGACACCAUCAUCAGCUUUAUCCCUCUCCCAAUAGGUUUUAUGGAUGAAACGGAAAGAUUUAUUUUUUUAAUAAAUGAGGCCAAAUCCUGAAUGGGAGCCAUUCAAGCAUGAGAUGCAAUAAAAUUAGAAAAACUUCUACUUUAUCCCAGAGCACAGAAAUUUACAAAUUGCAGAACUCUUUCGUCCUAGUUUGUUGAAUUAUUCUUUAAAAACUCCAAAUGCAAAGUAUUCUUUUUGCAGCAUGACAAACAAAACAGAGAUAUACAAGGAAAAGCUGAAAAUCUCUGUCCCACCACGUCACCCCCUGAGGUAACCAAUGUGAACAGUUCGGUGUGGCUCCUUCCACACCUUUUUCUGUGCUCAUAAACACAGACACAUCUCCACCAAGCACAGACUCCUAUAGAGGAUGCGUCUUCCUUUUCUCCCCUCCCACUUUCUUUCCUUUCUCCCCUCCCCUUUCUUUCUUCUUCCGUAAAUGAGAUCUCAGUAUACACAUUGCUCAGAAACUUGUUAUUCUAAUUCAGUAUUUUAUGAACAUCUCUCUAGGUUAGUGUUCUUCAAACUGGGGGUUUAACCAUUUAUGUAUCACAAAAUUAAUUUACUGGGUCCUGACCAGGAAUUUUUAAGUAAAGUAACAUAGACUAGAAGUUACUGGAGAACUCUGAAUGCAGUAAGGAUAAGCAUUGUUCUAUGAGAACCGUAUUUCAGAUGGGUAUAUAGAGUUCUCUCAUCUAUAAAAUGGGGGUAAAAAUAGUGCCCAUUGCAGGAGUUGCUGAUAAGAUUAAAUGAGCUAUUACAUUCAGGUGCCUCUUAACCACGAGGAGACAUUCGGAAAAAUGCGUCGUUAGGCGAUUGCAUUGUUGUGCCAACGUCAUAGAAGGUACUUACA